UAUAUAGGUUAUUAGUCAUUAACUAUGUAUAUGUACAAAAUUGAGACUUUGAAAAUGUUUUUUUUCUAGCUUAAAAAGAAGAAAAAAGAGGCAAGUAUGGGAAAGUCGUGAGGAAUAUGAUCCCAUGAGGAAUAUGUUUUGGGCUUUAUCCUUUUCACAUCAUAGCUAAUGAUUAGGGAUUAAGGAACUGUCUUAGUACUAAUAUAUAUAUAUAUAUAAAUAUCUGCCUCUUGUUUAAAACAAACAAACAAACAAACAAAUAUCGUUUGAGAAGAAGAAAAAAAAAAUGGCAAAGAACACCAAAUCAGAAACCCAGUCCCGUGGAACAUUUCGACAGUUUUUCAGGGCCUUUAAACGCCGAGUCUCUCCGGCCCGCCCACAGACCCCGAUUUCAAACAAAAUACCUAUAUAUUAUAAUCACAGCAACAAUGAACCCAUGAAGCCCGGCCCGACCAACAUUAACAAGGCAGUCGAUGACUCUAAGUUUACUAAUUUUAUAGAUGAGACGAAGAAAAAGAUAAAGGCUAAUUCAAGUUUUGUUGGUGAUGAAAAUGGCCCAGUAACUAAACGGGCCACCACAAGAAGGGACAGUUUCAAUGAUAGAAUUUCUCACUUUAUCAAUCGGGCCAAACUCAAAAUACGAACUACUACUACUGUUGAUCAUGCUGAUGGUUAAGAAAACAAAUAUAUAUAUAUUAAUUGAAAUAAAAAAUUAUGCUUAUCUUGACAUUGACACUAAAUAUUCUUCAACUUGAUGGAUAAUGCCAAACAAAAUGAUCCUUUUUCUGCUGGUUACCACUACGUGAAAAUUGUGGUUUUGAUUUUUAUGUGAAAGUGAAUAUCAAUGAAUUCCAUUCUUGUAA